AAUAGAUACCCUGGUAGUCCACGCCCUAAACGAUGUCUACUAGUUGUCGGGGGGUAACUCCUUCGGUAACGCAGCUAACGCGUGAAGUAGACCGCCUGGGGAGUACGGUCGCAAGAUUAAAACUCAAAGGAAUUGACGGGGACCCGCACAAGCGGUGGAUGAUGUGGAUUAAUUCGAUGCAACGCGAAAAACCUUACCUACCCUUGACAUGCCACUAACGAAGCAAAGAUGCAUUAGGUGCCCGAAAGGGAAAGUGGACACAGGUGCUGCAUGGCUGUCGUCAGCUCGUGUCGUGAGAUGUUGGGUUAAGUCCCGCAACGAGCGCAACCCUUGCCAAUAGUUGCUACGAAAGGGCACUCUAUUGGGACUGCCGGUGACAAACCGGAGGAAGGUGGGGAUGACGUCAAGUCCUCAUGGCCCUUAUGGGUAGGGCUUCACACGUCAUACAAUGGCUGGUACAGAGGGUUGCCAACCCGCGAGGGGGAGCCAAUCCCACAAAACCAGUCGUAGUCCGGAUUGCAGUCUGCAACUCGACUGCA
rnacentral:rRNA from 1 species